AGAGGUGUAGCUCAGUGGUAGAGCACUUUCUUAGCAUGCUUGAGGCCCUGGGUUUAAUUUCUAUUACUUACCAAAAAAAAAAAAAAAAAAAAUCAAACCCAAUUAUUUCACUGGUCAUUCAAGGGCUUCACUAAAAAAUUCCUUUUUUUAGGGUGGGGGGUUGUCACUCAGUGGUAGCGCGCUUGCCUAGCAUGUGUGAGGCACUGGGUUCGAUCCCUAGCACCACAU
rnacentral:tRNA from 1 species